rnacentral:tRNA from 2 species
GCCCGGGUGGUGUAGCCUGGUUAACACGCCGGCCUGUGGAGCCGGUGAACCCGAGUUCAAAUCUCGGCCCGGGCC